rnacentral:lncRNA from 1 species
AAUGGACAAGAGAGAUGGCAAGUUCGGUCCACAGCCGAUGGCGGUGCCUCCGCCUCAGGUAAUGUCACGGAUUGAUCAAGCAACUCCACCCGCAAUUGGUUAUCCUCCACAAGGUUACCCACCUUCUGGUUAUCCGCAACCCCCGCCACAAGGUUACAACACCCACCUCAAGGUUAUCCACCUUCUGGUUAUCCGCAACACCCUCCACAAGGUUAUCCACCUUCUGGUUAUCCUCAAAACCCUCCAGCAUAUCCUCAAUACCCUCCCGGUCCAGCUUAUCCUCCUCAGGCUUACCCAAAGUAACUACUCUUUGCCUGGUUUCUCUGGAG